AACGGUUUGGGUUGGUUCUGCUGC
rnacentral:siRNA from 1 species